CAUAUGGUUUUGUCUUUAAGUUGAUAAAGUUGGUUCUUUGUAUAUGUGGUUGAGAAAAAUUUAUAUAGGAGAUAUUUGUUUCAAGUUCACAUUAUAUUACUUUUUUUUGGUUUGGGGAAGGGGGGCAUUGAAUGCUAAGUGUUUGGAUUGAAAUCUCCCUAGCUAGUUUGAUUUCUUCUUCUCUAUCAUUUGAAAAAUAUGGAGGAUGAGAUGGAAAAUGAAAAAUCUCCAAUUACUAUCCUGUGAUACUUUUUCCCCAAAAACAGUCUUAUGGAAUACGAGUAGAUAUUGAUGUACAUGGGAUGGAUUACAACUUGAUUAGAAAACAUUGGACACAAUACUUCAAAACUUCCCAAAAACGGUCUUAUGGAAUGCGAGUAGAGAUUGUUGUACUUUCUCUCCCUGAUGUCAACAUCUCAUCUUCUAUACCUAUGAAUAUGUCUUCCUCCUUAAGGUGAAAUGCUUGACGUUUUCUCUAACCUCCAAGAUCUUUGACAACAUGAAUUAUGCGGUUCCUAAACCUUUCGCAUAAUUCAUUAACAAGCCACCUACCACAAGUUCAUUACCACAAUUUAGAGUAUCUUGAUCUUAAAUUUAACUUCUUUCAGGGUCCACUACCUUCAUCCAUUUGUAACAUGAGCUGGCUUGGAUUUCUAGAUUUAUCACACAACAACUUCAGUAACUCGAUUUCAAGUUGCUUGAGAAGCAUGGCUAGUCUAAGGGUGUUGGACUUGAGAAGGAACAAUUUCACGGAGAGUCUUUCACCAUUAUGUGUGCUGAGUACCGAUUUUCUUGAAUGGUAACCGAUUUGAAAGACCUAUCCCAAUAUCAUAUUAAACUAAGAUGAAGACGAGUCAUAUUUCUUAAGUGGAUUUACUUGGGAAUCCGUAGUCAUAGGCUACAGUUUUGGACUAGUUAUUGGUCAUGUGGAGUCUCAUGUUUAGAUAUCGUAAACCAAAAUGAUUUGUGGAAUUUUUUGAUGUCAUCGUGCCUCACGAAAAUAGAAGGCCAAAGAAGAGAGCUCGGAGACAACGGACUUAAUGUUGAAAAUAAUCUCAUCAAUAUUAUGCUUUUAUUUUUUGUUCUUUUACUUUGUCUAAAUUCUCUCUUUGUUAUUUGCAUCUGUUAGAUACCUCUUGAAUUAUUUUUAGCAUUUGCUUUGACUAUUGAAUUGAAGUUAUAAAAAGCAGUUUUCUUUGCUUGUG